GAACCGACACCAUCCUGUCCGAACCGACACCCUGACCCGGCACCAUCCUGUCAGAACCGACACCCUGACCUGGCACCAUCCUGUCAGAACCGACACCAUCCUGUCAGAACCGACACCCUGACCCGACACCAUCCUGUCAGAACCGACACCCUGACCCGGCACCAUCCUGUCAGAACCGACACCCUGACCCGGCACCAUCCUGUCAGAACCGACACCCUGACCCAACAUUGUUUGAUAAUGGACUUUAUUGUAAACUUGAGAAAUGCAGAUUUGCUCAGCACGAGGUUCGGUUUUCGCGGUAUAAUAUUUCUGCCUCUGGUUUCCAAAUGGAUCCUCGCAAACUAGAGGCCGUUCUGUGUUCCAAGCCAUCCAGGGGUCUAUUAGUUUCCAUAACUAUUGUAGGAGAUUAAUCAAAGGUUUCUCUUGGGUAAUAGCCCCCAUCUCCAAUAUGACACACAGGGGGGCUAAUUGUACAAUAUGGGCUAAAUGAAGAUUGAGUAGAUGACCGCUUCUUACUUCCUCCGAUAGUAAAACAUAUUUAUUAUAAACAAUCAACACAAAAAUACAGAAAUAAAACUGCCUUAUACUGUCCAACCCUACGUGUUUCGUUCGGUAUCUGUCCGAACUUCGUCAGGGUUAUAAAUAAAAAAGUUUACUCCUCGAUGCUGGGAGCUGUCUGAACCUCCAGUAUGCUCUGUUUAAUUUUUAAAUCCAGUACAAUCCAAUACUUAGCGCAUGCGUUCCACAAGAAAAUGCACAAUCCAUCUGAGGUCUGUCUUGGAUUCAUCAUUUUAAAUUGCAAAGGUGCUGUAUUCCACAGAGUCUUAGUCUUGUUUGGUUGGUCCAGAAUGCUCACCGUUUUCACAUGAAAUAAAAACAAUAUUAUAUGUAUCACAAACAGAU